rnacentral:rRNA from 1 species
GAUGAACGCUAGCGGCAGGCCUAACACAUGCAAGUCGAGGGGUAGAAGGAGCUUGCUCCUUUGAGACCGGCGCACGGGUGCGUAACGCGUAUGCAAUCUACCUUUUACAGAGGGAUAGCCCAGAGAAAUUUGGAUUAAUACCUCAUAGUAUAUAUCAUUCGCAUGUUUGGUAUAUUAAAGUUCCAACGGUAAAAGAUGAGCAGGCGUCCCAUUAGUUAGUUGGUAAGGUAACGCCUUACCAAGACGAUGAUGGGUAGGGGUCCUGAGAGGGAGCCCCCCAACACGGGAACUGAGACACGGACCAGCCUCCGACGGGAGGCAGCAGUGAGGAAUAUUGGUCAAUGGACGAAAGUCUGAACCAGCCAUGCCGCGUGCAGGAAGACGGUCCUAUGGAUUGUAAACUGCUUUUGUACGGGAAGAAACACUCCUACGUGUAGGAGCCGGACGGUACCGUAAGAAUAAGGAUCGGCUAACUCCGUGCCAGCAGCCGCGGUAA